GUGAGUGUUCAAGGGCGCAUGGUGGAUGCCUUGGCAUCAAGGGCCGAUGAAGGACGCGGUAAUCUGCGAUAAGCCUCGGGGAGUUGGUAAACGAGCUGUGAUCCGAGGGUGUCCGAAUGGGGAAACCUCGCUGCGUGUUGUGCGUAGUGACCACAGGGUGAAUGUAUAGCCUUGUUGGGGGUGACGUGGGGAAGUGAAACAUCUCAGUACCCAUAGGAAGAGAAAAUAAUAAUGAUUCUGUUAGUAGUGGCGAGCGAACGCGGAAGAGCCUAAACCGUGUGUGUGUCAAGCGUGCUGGUUUUGCAUGCGCGGUGUUGUGGGGCCGAUCGUCCUAGUUCAGCAUGGCUGGGGCAUGGAUGCAGUGUGGUAGGUGAACAGGUUGGGAAGCCUGACCGGAGUGGGUGAGAGUCCCGUAGCUGAAACUGUGCUGGUCUGUGUGUGUUGGUGCCCGAGUAGCACGGUACUCGUGGAAUGUCGUGUGAAUCUGCCAGGACCACCUGGUAAGGCUGAAUACUCUUGGUGACCGAUAGCGGAUAGUACCGUGAGGGAAUGGUGAAAAGUACCCCGGGAGGGGAGUGAAAGAGUACCUGAAACCGUGUGCCUACAAUCCGUCAGAGCCCUGUGGGGUGAUGGCGUGCCUUUUGAAGAAUGAGCCUGCGAGUUAGUGGCAUGUGGCGAGGUUAACCCGUGUGGGGAAGCCGUAGCGAAAGCGAGUCCGAACAGGGCGGUCAGUCGUGUGUCCUAGACCCGAAGCGGAGUGAUCUAGCCAUGGACAGGGUGAAGCGCCGGUAAGACGGCGUGGAGGCCCGAACCCACCUAGGUUGAAAACUGGGGGGAUGAUCUGUGGUUAGGGGUGAAAGGCCAAUCAAACUCUGUGAUAGCUGGUUCUCCCCGAAAUGCAUUUAGGUGCAGCGUCACGUGGUGCUUUGCGGAGGUAGAGCGACUGGAUGACUGAUGGGCCCGCGAGGGUUACUGACGUCAGCUAAACUCCGAAUGCCGUGAAGUCAGCGUGGCAGUGAGACUGCGGGGGAUAAGCUUCGUAGUCGAGAGGGAAACAGCCCAGACCAUCAACUAAGGUCCCUAAGCGUGUGCUCAGUGGAAAAGGAUGUGGAGUUGCAGUGACAACCAGGAGGUUGGCUUAGAAGCAGCCAUCCUUGAAAGAGUGCGUAAUAGCUCACUGGUCAAGUGAUUCCGCGCCGAUAAUGUAGCGGGGCUUAAGCACACCACCGAAGUUGUGGCAAAAACAUGUNNNNNNNNNNNNNNNNNNNNNNNNNNNNNNNNNNNNNNNNNAACCGAUAACUCGGGUGUUUUUGGGUAGGGGAGCGUCGUGUGGCCGGUGAAGCUGCGAAGUGAUUCAGUGGUGGAGGCUAUACGAGUGAGAAUGCAGGCAUGAGUAGCGAAAGACGGGUGAGAAACCCGUCCGCCGAAUGACCAAGGGUUCCAGGGCUAGGUUAAUCCGCCCUGGGUUAGUCGGGACCUAAGGCGAGGCCGACAGGCGUAGUCGAUGGACAACGGGUUGAUAUUCCCGUACCAGUGAAGAACCGUCCAUACCGAAGAAUCUGAUACUAACCAGUGCCACACCCGCACUGCACUCCCUUUGGGAGUGUGUGUGGUGUGUGGUGGUGGGACCUGAGGGUUUUGUAGGUAAGCGUGUUAACAGGUGUGACGCAGGAAGGUAGCCGGGCCGUGCGAUGGUUGUCGCGGUCUAAGGUUGUAGGCCGUGUGGUUGGCAAAUCCGCCACACAUACAGGCUGAGAGCUGAUGGGCGCCCCACAAUUGGUGGGGUGAUCCGGUGAUCCUCUGCUGCCAAGAAAAGCAUCGACGUGAGGUUCAAACUGCCCGUACCCUAAACCGACUCAGGUGGUCAGGUAGAGAAUACCAAGGCGAUCGAGAUAAUCGU
rnacentral:rRNA from 1 species